UUUCUAUCUCGAUCUAGUUUUCUAUGAAACCCUAAAUCUCAAUCUCUUGUCAUUCUCGAUCUAGAUUCUCUGAAGACAAAUUCUUCUCUAAAAUUGUAUUAGGUUUCAUCAAUAGAUCAGCGGAACUACGAUUCAUAAAUUUAGUUUAAGAACAAUUCAAUCUCCAUCUUCAAAACCAAAGUUUGAGUACCAAUUAGCACUUGAUUCCAUAAGCCUGAAUCCGACGUCAUCGACAUUUGUUCUUGAAGAAUUAGCUUGAAAUUGACGUGGAAGGUCGAUAAAAUCACCAACAACAAGUGAAUCUUAAGAUAUCAUCAACAGAAAUGCUUAGGGACAACAAUUACUGAUAGAAUCCCGAUUUAUUCUCCAUCUACAUCACCGAUUAGGUUGGCUUGUGUCCUCACACUGGUACUAAUGAUGUAAUAAGAACAGCUUGGUUUCUUGCUGGGAACUCCAAACCAGGGGUAAGAAAGCUAAUUAAUUGCGAUGAAUAUCCACAAUGAUCUCCCCAAGAGUUGUCAUCUGAUCCUAACCUUGAUUUUCUAUGGAAUACUCGUGGUCCAAAGCGAGGGGAGCCACGACAUUUCACUUUCAUUCAGUUCAUUACCAAAUAGAGGGUGUGUGAAUCAUAGACAAUAUAUCACUUGGUCGAAGUUAAUGAAGACAGCUGGACAUGGAUAUGGCGUAGAGACGAUUUCCUUUUGAUUGUUCUGAUUAUAAAUGGUGGAUAUCAUUAGGGGUAUCAACCAUGUCGGAGAAGGUUGUGUAUGCUAUUCUGAACCAUGGUUGACUACUAAACCAACCUCCGCAAAUCUGGCUAUUAUCCAACUAGAACUUGGCGUGGUUGAUAUUUUGGUAAGUCUGUGUGGACUAGAGUGGCAGUCUGGCUAUCAUGGAUAC